AGGAGAAAGCAAACGGGGGCUUAUUUCACCUUCAGGAAUCAUUCUGACAUGAUGUCUCCAAAUAUCAGAGUUUUGCGGUCACUCCAAACAUCACAGUUUUGUUAAAGGUGUGUCUUCAAGCUGAGGGGCCACCCACCACCAACCCAUCUUGGUGGUUCCUCCAGGCCUGGAACAGCCCCACCAUCCGUCUUGGUAAGAACAGAAGAGGCUUCCUCUUAUUAGUACCAUAAUAGUCACAUUAA